rnacentral:rRNA from 1 species
UACGAAGGGAGCUAGCGUUGUUCGGAAUCACUGGGCGUAAAGGGUGCGUAGGCGGGUCUUUAAGUCAGGGGUGAAAUCCUGGAGCUCAACUCCAGAACUGCCUUUGAUACUGAAGAUCUUGAGUUCGGGAGAGGUGAGUGGAACUGCGAGUGUAGAGGUGAAAUUCGUAGAUAUUCGGAGGAACACCAGUGGCGAAGGCGGCCGACUGGUCCGGUUCUGACGCUGAGGCGCGAAAGCGUGGGGAGCAAACAGG